rnacentral:rRNA from 1 species
AUGGCCUUCCAUGACAGUAGGGAGUUCAAGAAUGCAUUGGUCAAGUAUGGACUGAAAACAUAUCACCACUUGUUAUUUCCAAAAGAUGAGAAAAGGAGAGUAAGUGCAAAAUGCAGUUGGCCUAGCUGUCCUUGGAGUGUUUAUGGGUCCAUUACUAGUAGGUCUGAUUGGUUUCUAGUAUGGAGGUACAAUAAUGAGCACACUUGCAUUCCAAGAAGGGACAACAAGCUGGUCACAUGUGGUGUCAUUGCAAAGAAGUAUUUUAGGCAAAUUAGGGACAAUCCAUCAUGGAAGGCAGAGCACAUUCAACAAGCUGUUCUUCAGGAUCUAGUAGCUGAUGUGUCCAUCUCCAAAUGCAAACGAGCAAAGAAACUAGUUAUGGAGAAGAUAAUUGAUCUAUCUGAUGGUGAGUAUACUUGGGUUUAUGAUUAUCAGCUUGAGUUGCUUAGAAGCAACCCCGGUAGCACUAUCGCAGUGACAUUAAAUCCAGAAAUUCUUAAUAGUAAUGUGUUUGAAAGAAUGUAUCUGUGUUUAGAUGGUUGCAAGAAAGGAUUUCUUGAAGGACGUAGAAGAGUGGUGGGGCUAGAUGGAUGUUUUUUGAAGGGCGCAUUCAGGGGCAGUUGCUUUGUGCAAUUGGCAGAGAUGCAAAUAACCAGGUGUAUCCAAUAG